rnacentral:rRNA from 1 species
GAUGAACGCUAGCUACAGGCUUAACACAUGCAAGUCGAGGGGUUUCAAAGGAGCUUGCUCCUGCGGAGCGACCGGCGCACGGGUGAGUAACGCGUAUCCAACCUGCCCUUCAUAUUGGUAUAGCCUCCCGAAAGGGAGAUUAAUCCCGAAUGCCAUAUCAUAGUUGCCUGACGAUGAUAUGAAAGCUCCGGCGAUGAAGGAUGGGGAUGCGUUCCAUUAGGUAGUAGGCGGGGUAAUGGCCCACCUAGCCGACGAUGGAUAGGGGUUCUGAGAGGAAGGUCCCCCACACUGGAACUGAGACACGGUCCAGACUCCUACGGGAGGCAGCAGUGAGGAAUAUUGGUCAAUGGGCGCAAGCCUGAACCAGCCAAGUAGCGUGAAGGAGACUGCCCUAUGGGUUGUAAACUUCUUUUAUACGGGAACAACCGCAGGUACGUGUACCUGUCUGCGUGUACCGUAUGAAUAAGCAUCGGCUAACUCCGUGCCAGCAGCCGACGG